rnacentral:rRNA from 1 species
AGACGUAGGGGGCGAGCGUUGCUCGGAAUCACUGGGCGUAAAGGGCGCGCAGGCGGUUUGGUAAGUCAGAUGUGAAAGCCCAUGGCUCAACCAUGGAAGUGCAUUUGAAACUGUCAGACUUGAGUACUAGAGGGGAAAGUGGAAUUCCCGGUGUAGAGGUGAAAUUCGUAGAUAUCGGGAGGAAUACCGGUGGCGAAGGCGACUUUCUGGCUAGAUACUGACGCUGAGGCGCGAAAGCGUGGGGAGCAAACAGGAUUAGAAACCCUUGUAGUCC